GACGAACGCUGGCGGCGUGCUUAACACAUGCAAGUCGAACGGAAAGGCCCUGCUUUUGUGGGUUGCUCGAGUGGCGAACGGGUGAGUAACACGUGAGUAACCUGCCCUUGACUUUGGGAUAACUUCAGGAAACUGGGGCUAUUACCGGAUAUGAGCUUCUGCUGCAUGUUGGGGGUUGGAAAGUUUCGGCGGUUGGGGAUGGACUCGCGGCUUAUCAGCUUGUUUGUGGGGUAGUGGCUUACCAAGGCUUUGACGGGUAGCCGGCCUGAGAGGGUGACCGGCCACAUUGGGACUGAGAUACGGCCCAGACUCCUACGGGAGGCAGCAGGGGGGAAUAUUGCACAAUGGGCGGAAGCCUGAUGCAGCAACGCCGCGUGCGGGAUGACGGCCUUCGGGUGGUAAACCGCUUUCGCCUGUGACGAAGCGUGAGUGACGGUAAUGGGUAAAGAAGCACCGGCUAACUACGUG
rnacentral:rRNA from 1 species